GCUGUGAGGGCUCCAGAGAGGCCAAGGCAAGGGAGACUGAGGAGAAGCAAAACCAGAAAACUUCCUUUGCUGCCUUUAUGGAUGGUAAAGUGUAAAGUAGCUCAGUCAGCAAACCCACAGGAGCACCCUGAAACAAGAGAAUACAAGAAAGUUUUGCAUAGUGAUGGUCGGUUUUGACUCAAGAGCUAUAUAGAUGCUUAUAGAAGAAAAGUUAUUCCAAGGACAAAGGAAAAAGAAAACAAAAAAAGGUCAAUGACUUGAAGCAACUGGGUAGACGAACAUGAGGGACAUACUUUUGGGUAAAAUGUGUUCCACUGCGUAGUCUAACAUUUGGCCAGACUUUGGUGACAUAUUCAAAGAUGUGGAUGAAGAACUGGAAGCUUCAAACAAACAGAACAGCAAAAUAAAACUUUUGAAAUGUAAAGUAGGGAGAAGUAGAGUCUGCUUAGAUGUUUCUUCAAAUAGUGUUCCUCUCUUGGUUAACCCGGGCAGGCACCAACACUUAAUCCCAUAAUAAAUGGUGAUUUAUCUUUAGAUUGGCUUUUGGCCUUUAUUCCAAUAAAGAUCUUUCUUAGUCCCUUAUACA
rnacentral:lncRNA from 1 species